ensembl:lncRNA
AUGAGAAAGUCUUGUUUUCUGGCGUUCGGACUGGUCCUACUGAUGGCCUGGACUUCUGAGAAUCAAACUCAAGCUUCUCCAGUCUCUGAAAGGGUUUCAACAUCUAUAGGCAAAUUUUGUGUGCAACUAGAUAGUGCUGGGAGAAAUAGAGAAACAGAUAAUGUGAUAGGACCAGCAAACCUUGCAUCAACUAAUCUCCAAAAUAUACCCAAGAAAACAGAUCUUAUCCCAAAGACAACCACUCUACCGAAGAAAACAGAUCCUACACCGAAGAAAACAGAUCCUACACCAAAGAAAACCACCUUACCAAAGAAAACAAAUCCUACGCCAAAGAAAACCACCCUACCGAAGAAAACAAAUCCUACGCCAAAGAAAACAGAUCCUACCCCAAAGACAACCACCCUACCGAAGAAAACAAAUCCUACACCGAAGAAAACAGAUCCUACACCAAAGAAAACAGAUCUUACCCCAAAAACAACCACCCUACCGAAGAAAACAGAUCCUAUACCGAAAAAAACAAAUCCUACGCCAAAGAAAACAAAUCCUACGCCGAAGAAAACAAAUCCUAUGCCGAAGAAAACAAAUCCUACGCCAAAGAAAACAAAUCCUACGCCAAAGAAAACAGAUCCUACACCGAAGAAAACAAAUCCUACCCCAAAGACAACCACCCAAAGAAAACCGAUCCUACCCGUAAGACAACCACCCGAAGAAAACAUCCAACAAUCCUACCCCAAAAACAACAACCGUUAUUGCUAA